rnacentral:lncRNA from 1 species
CCCAGGACUCCGUCUCUUGCCAGUGAAAGUUAUGUUAGGAAGCAGUGAGGGGUCUAAAGCAGUAUGAAAGGCAAAGAGAAAAGGUGAUUGUUCCCUCUUGAAUGGCCCUUGGAAGCUGAGUAUCUGGAUUCACCCUCCCUAGGGAAUUUCCCGAUUGUCUUGCAGGCUUACACACUCAUCAAGAUGACAAAAAUAAUGACAGUAACACUUAUGUGGAACUUGACUUUUUCCCAGGUGCUGCUCUAAGCAUUUACUGUGUUUGUUUUACAGGAAGGAAGACUGUACACAGAGAAUAAAUAACUUGGCCAAGCCAUUCAGCUAGGAAGUUGUAGAUCCUAAAUUAAGAGUUCAAGGUCUUAAUGGCUACUCUAUGCGGCCUCUCAUAGUCUUUUCAAGGGUUUUGGAGAAGAAUAAAAGAUCAGUCAUCCACAGAUGUUUGAGUGGUUACAAUGUGCCAGCCUCCCUUCUAGGUACUGGAGAUAAAGUGGGACAAGAGAGGCAUUGCUUUUGAACUCAGUCAUCUUUUCCCCCUUGCCCACUAGUUGCUUGUGAUACAUCAGUAUCCUCACUCACCCCCAACUCCAGAGGCUGAAACUAACUCUCCUCCUCCCUCUUCCAACUGCUGAGGAAGAUGAGUCAAUGGUGUUACUGGACCCUGUGAACUGAUGCUGUGAAGAGAGGCCAUUUAACACGGACUACGGGGAAUGGUGCCACAGGGGGCUCAGUGCUGCCCUUCACUCUCAGCAUUUUGCUCACUCAGCAUUGGUAAGCCACAUCAGCCUCGGUGAAGGAAGUCUGGAGAGUUAAGCCUGUGCUUCAUCUCCAUGCCAGCACCAUGGCACUCAUUGUACAUUCAGCAAGCCCCAAGGAAGCUGGCAGGAGGCUGGCUGACAUCUACGGGACAGGUCAAUUUGUUCUCUGGAGGGCACUCCAUGAGACGCAAAUAUCUUCACACCCUGUGCCCAUUUCAAGAGACUCUCUCACAUGCCUCCCCCACCUUGACCUCUGUGUCACCAGUCUUUCAAUCUUGUUUUUUCCAAAUCCUUAAGGUAGCAGCUGGCCAACACAUUAGCCACCACUGAUGAGUCAGUGUAGAUCUUACAUUGGGCCAUCUCUUUUUUCUUGCAAAAUAGAAAAGCAGAUGUUCUGCUCAAAGUUCUGUUUGUCAGUAAGAUUUCCCUUUCUGCUGUGUUUCAGGACAUCCCUGGGAGGGACUCUGAUGCAGCAGCCAUCUACUUAUUGCUAGUGCCAGCUUACUUUGCAUAACAUUGACUCCUUUCCCUCAUCUGUUGCCUAGUUGUAGGAAACUCCUUGUGAAGCUAUAGGUGUGCACUGAGGGAGAGACAUUGAGUCAAUGGGAGCAGGCAUCAUAGAGUCUAAGUUUUCUGCUAGUCUGAGUUUCUUGUGCCUUGUGGACCUGGUGGGCUUAUCUCCUUUAUCAUAUAGAUACAAUUUUCGCUUAAUAAUAGCAUGCUCCUGCAAAUGCCCAAUUUUAUCAUGUGGUAGAUUAGGCAACACUCAGUUUAUUAGGGUAGCUAGGUUGUGCAGUUACUUGAUGUUAUGGAUUGAAUUGUGUCCCUCCAAAAGAUAUAUUAGAAUCCCAACCUUUAGGACUUCAGAGUGUGACAUUAUUUGAAUAUAGGGUCUUUACAGAGUUAAUCAAUUUUUUUGAAUCUUAUAUAGCUUUUAUUUCAG